UUUCAGGUUUAGAAUGCUGUCAGAAAGGAGUCAGAUCCUCUGUAUCUGUUUCCAAGAUUUACAUAUUCAUCUAUACUGACAUUUACUUAAAUGUGCUAUCUUUUUCCCCUGGAUAAACAAAUGAUAUUUGAGCUUUCCAAGCAGAAAUUCAAGUUUAGCAAUAAAAACGACGAGAAACACACACGGGGUGUAUGUGUGUACAGUACAUAAGCUAUGAGAGGACAUGGUGAGAAGAUGGUCAUCUGCAAGCCAAGGACAGAUCUCAGAAGAAACCAAAUCUGCUGACAUUUUGUUCUUGGACUUCUAGUCUCCUCCAGAUUUGUGAAAAAUAAAUUUCUGUUGUUUAAG
rnacentral:lncRNA from 1 species